GGACAUUAUUGAAUAAACCUGAUGUGACUGUUAGCUGGCUUUUCGAAGCAUGUGCUCGUCCAUCAUCUUUAUCUCUCCACCUGUGCACAUUUUGUAGUCUUGGAUACCUCUCGAGGAAACUCGGAUUUUAGGAUCGCCGUGCUGUACAAGUCGGCUUUUCUUUCAUUUCCAAGACUAUGUUUUUAUAUACACCAAAGUAUGUUUAUAGAAUGUCAUCAAUGGGAACUUGUUUCCUAUAAAAUUAUACAACUUUCAGCAACGGAUCUCUUGGCUCUCGCAUCGAUGAAGAACGCAGCGAAAUGCGAUAAGUAAUGUGAAUUGCAGAAUUCAGUGAAUCAUCGAAUCUUUGAACGCACCUUGCGCUCCUUGGUAUUCUGAGGAGCAUGCCUGUUUGAGUGUCAUUAAAUUCUCAACCUUCCAACUUUUAUUAGCUUGGUUAGGCUUGGAUGUGGGGGUUGCAGGCUUCAUCACUGAGGUCGGCUCUCCUUAAAUGCAUUAGCGGAACUUUUGUGGACCGUCUAUUGGUGUGAUAAUUAUCUACGCCGUGGAUGUGAAGCAGCUUUAUGAAGUUCUGCUUCUAACCGUCCAUUGACUUGGACAAUUUUGACAAUUUGACCUCAAAUCAGGUAGGACUACCCGCUGAACUUAAGCAUACA
rnacentral:rRNA from 1 species